rnacentral:rRNA from 1 species
CCCUUAGAUGUUCUGGGCUGCACGCGCGCUACACUGACGCACGCAACAGGUGCCUGCUCCGAGAGGACUGGGUAAUCAUUUGAGUGUGCGUCGUGAUGGGGAUAGAAUAUUGUAAUUAUUACUCUUCAACGAGGAAUUCCUAGUAAGCGCAAGUCAGCAGCUUGCGCUGAUUACGUCCCUGCCCUUUGUACACACCGCCCGUCGCUCCUACCGAUUGAGUGGUCCGGUGAGGCUUUGGGAUCUGAGCGGAAAGAGCGUUUCGCUGUUUCUGCUCGGAAAACUCAGUCGAACCUUAUCAUUUAGAGGAAGGAGAAGUCGUAACA